GAUGAAGAACGUAGUGAAAUGCGAUAAGUAAUGUGAAUUGCAGAAUUCAGUGAAUCAUCGAAUCUUUGAACGCACAUUGCGCCCCCUGGUAUUCCGGGGGGCAUGCCUGUUCGAGCGUCAUUUCAACCCUCAAGCUCUGCUUGGUAUUGAGUCCAUGUCAGCAAUGGCAGGCUCCAAAAUCAGUGGCGGCGCCGCUGGGUCCUGAACGUAGUAAUAUCUCUCGUUACAGGUGCUCGGCGUGCUUCUGCCAAAACCCCAAUUUUUCUAUGGUUGACCUCGGAUCAGGUAGGGAUACCCGCUGAACUUAAGCAUAUCAAUAAGCGGAGGA
rnacentral:misc_RNA from 1 species